rnacentral:rRNA from 1 species
GGCAGAUCUCUGGGCCGCUACUGACGCUGAGGAGCGAAAGGGUGGGGAGCAAACAGGCUUAGAUACCCUGGUAGUCCACCCCGUAAACGUUGGGCGCUAGAUGUGGGGACCAUUCCACGGUUUCCGUGUCGUAGCUAACGCAUUAAGCGCCCCGCCUGGGGAGUACGGCCGCAAGGCUAAAACUCAAAGGAAUUGACGGGGGCCCGCACAAGCGGCGGAGCAUGCGGAUUAAUUCGAUGCAACGCGAAGAACCUUACCAAGGCUUGACAUAUACGAGAACGGGCCAGAAAUGGUCAACUCUUUGGACACUCGUAAACAGGUGGUGCAUGGUUGUCGUCAGCUCGUGUCGUGAGAUGUUGGGUUAAGUCCCGCAACGAGCGCAACCCUCGUUCUAUGUUGCCAGCACGUAAUGGUGGGAACUCAUGGGAUACUGCCGGGGUCAACUCGGAGGAAGGUGGGGACGACGUCAAAUCAUCAUGCCCCUUAUGUCUUGGGCUUCACGCAUGCUACAAUGGCCAGUACAAAGGGCUGCAAUACCGUAAGGUGGAGCGAAUCCCAAAAAGCUGGUCCCAGUUCGGAUUGAGGUCUGCAACUCGACCUCAUGAAGUCGGAGUCGCUAGUAAUCGCAGA